GACGUAGGGACCAAGCGUUGUUCGGAUUUACUGGGCGUAAAGGGCGCGUAGGCGGCGUGGUAAGUCACUUGUGAAAUCUCUGAGCUUAACUCAGAACGGCCAAGUGAUACUGCUGUGCUAGAGUGCAGAAGGGGCAAUCGGAAUUCUUGGUGUAGCGGUGAAAUGCGUAGAUAUCAAGAGGAACACCUGAGGUGAAGACGGGUUGCUGGGCUGACACUGACGCUGAUGCGCGAAAGCUAGGGGAGCAAACGGG
rnacentral:rRNA from 1 species